UAUUAAAAAUUUCAUCCAUUUCUACAGUUUUCUACAGUUAAAAACUAGUGUUGCUGACAGACUAAUCAGAAAGUUACACAUGGCGUGCCACAUGUAUCUCAUCCUAAUAUACAUGAACCAAUUUUUAACAUUAGAAACGGAUGAAAUUUUUAACA
rfam:Gossypium raimondii Chr02_contig_573, whole genome shotgun sequence.